rnacentral:rRNA from 1 species
CCUACGGGGGGCAGCAGUGAGGAAUAUUGGUCAAUGGACGAGAGUCUGAACCAGCCAAGUAGCGUGAAGGAUGACUGCCCUAUGGGUUGUAAACUUCUUUUAUAUGGGAAUAAAAUGUUCCACGUGUGGGAUUUUGUAUGUACCAUAUGAAUAAGGAUCGGCUAACUUCGUGCCAGCAGCCGCGGUAAUACGGAGGAUCCGAGCGUUAUCCGGCUUUAUUGGGUUUAAAGGGAGCGUAGGUGGAUUGUUAAGUCAGUUGUGAAAGUUUGCGGCUCAACCGUAACAUUGCAGUUGAAACUGGCAGUCUGGAGUACAGUAGAGGUGGGCGGAAUUCGUGGUGUAGCGGUGAAAUGCGUAGAUAUCACGAAGAACUCCGAUUGCGAAGGCAGCUCACUGGACUGCAACUGACACUGAGGCUCGAAAGUGUGGGUAUCAAACAGGAUUAGAUACCCGAGUAGUC